GAAGAAGGAAGAAGUCAUCUGUUUCACAAACUCUAAUGGAAUAAGUUUUUGAAGAGGCCCUGAAUGAUAUUUAGAGGUAGAAAAGGAAGAGGUUUUCAUUUUCUCGUGGAAACAACAAGCAGAGCUGAAGGAUUAAGUUUGGGGAACUAAUCCAGUAUGUACAAUUGCUUGCUCAUGCCAUUCGCAAUUGUGAAGUGAAACCCAAAACAAACAUUUUACUGAGAUUUGUAGCAGAUGGGAAAGAGGGAGAUGGAGAGAAAAUAAUGAGGUCUCUGUCAAAAUGGAGGAAAUUCCAAUCUCUCAUGACUGCUUUGAAGAAAGACCCACUCAGGCAACUGUACAGCGGCCCCGACACAGUGGAGGAGCUCCUCGACCGGCAUCUCGUCAAGAAAGAGAAGAAGAAAGGCGGCUGUAAUGGCGAAGAGGAGGAAGCGGUCCUGAGACAGAGGCUCAUGAGCAGUGAAAGAGAGGCUUUGAGCCUCUACAGGGACAUAAUUAGGGCGACAAGGUUCUUCUUGUGGCCUGAUCAGAGAGGGGUGCCCUGGUGCGUCGUGCUGAGGGAGAAUGCUCGUCGCGAGUUCGAGGAGGCGAGGUUUGAGAGGGAUCCGGAGGUGAUUACACGGUUGCUUAUCGGGGGAAGGGACUCCGUGUAUAAUGCCCUUGAGAAGCUUGCCGAGAAGCACAGGGCGAUGCUUGACAAGGAUCGGGACCAGCAAAGGAGGUAACUUGCCACAUUCCGUUGCAAGGGAUGACUUGUGUAGGAUCAUGUGGAUAAUGAUGACUUCAAAUUGUAUACAAGGAUGUGUAUGGUACACCACUAUACCUAGAAUCGGAAUGCCUUAGGCAUCUUUUGUGUGAUGCAUGCAAAUCUCAUCAGGGCUGUGCUGAUAUCAUUAUAAUGUAAAUUGGUUUUGAAAUGGCCCAAGGAUCUUGCAGCAUUUAUUUAGGAUCAUUUGCUCUUGAAUCCUAUCUUCUGGUCCUGUCAUAGCAGUCUUCAAUUGGCAGAGAAUUCCAAACAACUUCUACAAAUGUGUGUGCACACUUUGCUGGUCGUUCUUGGGCUCUAAACCACAUUAAAUUGUGGAUAAUUUGACGAAGGAAGUGUCUCAUCAACUUUGUCUAAGAGUGUUACAAGUACAAAUGAUCAAGAUACUUGCCCACAUGAACCAAAUAAAAGAAGAGAACAAGAAAAGUCUACCUAUGACAAGUACUCAUAAUGUAAAACUGCUGUUUUACUAUGGACACACACAACGUGUAUAAAUACAAGGGGGCAGGGAGGAAGGGAUGAAGGAGAGGAAGGGAGAGACAGUUGAAGCAUUCAAUCAGCUAAGGAAUCGCAAACAAUGCUGGUGAAAUUGUUAUUAGCUGGAUUGAGGACUAUAGAUUAGACCAGUCAUUUGUGAUAUUUGGUCCAACUUUUGUGCAAGUUAAACUCUUUAUAACAAGUCAAUCAUAUGCUGUUACGGAUAUGUAUGAGUAACUGCCAUGGAGUGUGUUAUUUGAGGCUUUCUAAAGAUCAGCACCUGGGUGUUUGCUUGAUUUGUUGAGGGCUUGAGGCAGUUUGUAUUGGUUUUGGAAGGAAUCUACAUCUAUCUGCUGCCCUUAGAAAUAUACUGAAAGUCUAUUUUCACUUGUAGUACAUAAACAUAGCGAUGAAUUGAAUUUGGCUAAACCUGCUGAUAUAAACACGGUAAUUUUGUAUGGUCCACUACAGAAACAAGACUUCAUAAGUUCAGGGACUUGAGAGCAGAACAAAAAGAUGGGUCGAUUUAAUCGGCUCUCGAAAAGAGAUGCGGCAAUGUUGAAGAGACAAUUAUCUCACUUGCAAACAUAUCUGGGAAGGAUCAAAUAUAUGACGGCGUUACCCUAUCUCAUGGAACUAGAUACGUGGUUGAGUUUUACAAGGAAUUGAACAUCUAAACGACAAAUGCUGAUGGUAGAGUAUCAAUAUGUUUUUAUUCAAGUACAACAUCUGCAUAAUGUCAUGCUUUAGUGGAGAAUAGGAGGGGGCUUUUCAGUUUUUUUUAUAUCUUGAUCCAAAUGUAUUGUGACAGUCG